CCUACGGGGGGCAGCAGUGGGGAAUAUUGGACAAUGGGGGCAACCCUGAUCCAGCCAUGCCGCGUGUGUGAAGAAGGCCCUCGGGUUGUAAAGCACUUUCAGUGAGGAAGAACGCCUGGUGGUUAAUACCCAUCAGGAAAGACAUCACUCACAGAAGAAGCACCGGCUAACUCCGUGCCAGCAGCCGCGGUAAUACGGAGGGUGCGAGCGUUAGUCGGAAUUACUGGGCGUAAAGCGCGCGUAGGUGGCUUGAUAAGCCGGUUGUGAAAGCCCCGGGCUCAACCUGGGAACGGCAUCCGGAACUGUCAAGCUAGAGUGCAGGAGAGGAAGGUAGAAUUCCCGGUGUAGCGGUGAAAUGCGUAGAGAUCGGGAGGAAUACCAGUGGCGAAGGCGGCCUUCUGGACUGACACUGACACUGAGGUGCGAAAGCGUGGGUAGCAAACAGGAUUAGAUACCCCAGUAGUC
rnacentral:rRNA from 1 species